GAAGGGAAAUGAGAGGUAAGGACUGACCAUUCUAGUUCGGGGGGACAAGAGUCUGAGGGCCGUAUUGCAUGUCGAAUCUGAGAAGUUUCGGGUCCCUAUAAAGGUCGGUUUAGGGGAAUUAUUACAAGUCCAAUCCGAGAAGUUCCAGGUCCCUACAUAGUUAUUCAUCCCAAACUCUGUAAGGACCUGGAACUUGUAAUAAGGUCCCUAAACCGACCUUUGUAGGGACCUGAAACUUCUCGGAUUCGACUUGUAAUACAGCCCUGAGUUGUAAGUGAUAUAUCAUUGUGUACCAAAGAGAGCUCAGUCAUUCUCUCCUCCUCUCCUCUCCCUCUCCUCAUACACAUUACCUUCCUGCAGCUCUUUCCCUCUUCUUUUUCCUUUUCUUUCCCUUUCUUCUUUUCCCUUUCCUCUACUUUUUCUAACUUCCCAUUCUCUCUUCACCGUCUAGUUUUGAGGGGACACAGCCAAGAGAGUUAUUAGCAGGAAGUGAAGGUUUAGAAGUCUAGUUUUGAGGACAGAAGAAAGUUUUUAGCAAGAGUUGAGGGCUGAGAAUUCUAGUUUUGAGGACAGAAGAAAGAGUUUUUAGCAAGAGUUAAGGGCUGAGAAUUCUAGUUUUGAGGAACAGCUGAGAGGGUCAUUAGCAAGAGUUGAGGGCUGAGAAUUCUAGUUUUGAGGACAGAAGAAAGAGUUUUUAGCAAGAGUUAAGGGCUGAGAAUUCUAGUUUUGAGGGACAGCUGAGAGGGUCAUUAGCAAGAGGUGAGGGCUGAGAAUUCUAGUUUUGAGGGACAGCUGAGAGGGUCAUUAGCAAGAGUUGAGGGCUGAGAAUUCUAGUUUUGAGGACAGAAGAAAGAGUUUUUAGCAAGAGUUAAGGGCUGAGAAUUCUAGUUUUGAGGGACAGCUGAGAGGGUCAUUAGCAAGAGUUGAGGGCUGAGAAUUCUAGUUUUGAGGACAGAAGAAAGAGUUUUUAGCAAGAGUUAAGGGCUGAGAAUUCUAGUUUUAAGGGACAGCUGAGAGGGUCAUUAGCAAGAGUUGAGGGCUGAGAAUUCUGGUUUUGAGGGACAGCUGAGAGGGUUAUUUGUUAGAGUUGAGGGGUGACAGUUCUUUUCCCUUUCCACCACCUAUCCUAUCUUUCCUUUCUCCAUUCUUCCCCUCCAUCUUUCCUUUCAUACCUCAACCUCUCACCCUCCCUUUCCUUGUAUAUGUAACCUUUUUCACCCCCUUCCAUUCCCAAUUCUUCCUUCCUUUUCUUCCCUUUCUUCUUUUCCCUUUCCAACACUAUUUCUAUUCUCUGUUUCUCCCUUCUUCCCCUCCCACUCCCAUCCACAUUUCCUUUUAUUCUUUCCUUCUCAUUCCUUGACCCUUCAUCCUCUCCUCCUCCUCCUCCUCUC